rnacentral:rRNA from 1 species
AUUGAACGCUGGCGGCAGGCCUAACACAUGCAAGUCGAGCGAGCGGCGGACGGGUGAGUAAUGUCUGGGAAACUGCCUGAUGGAGGGGGAUAACUACUUGAAACGGUAGCUAAUACCGCAUACCAUCAGAUGUGCCCAGAUGGGAUUAGCUAGUAGGUGGGGUAACGGCUCACCUAGGCGACGAUCCCUAGCUGGUCUGAGAGGAUGACCAGCCACCCUGGAACUGAGACACGGUCCAGACUCCUACGGGAGGCAGCAGUUGGGAAUAUUGCCCAAUGGGCGCAAGCCUGAUGCAGCCAUGCCGCGUGUAUGAAGAAGGCCUUCGGUUUGUAAAGUACUUUCAGCGGGGAUGCGGUACCCGAAGAAGAAGCACCGGCUAACUCCGUGCCAGCAGCCGCGGUAAUUC